GCAGCUCUUCGUUACAUUGCCAGUAAUACGACAAGUCAGGUCAAUGGUACCCAAGGAUUUGGAUAUCCGGGUCAAAGUUGACGAAUACCUGGAUUGGCAGCACACAAAACACCAGAAACCAUGGCGUCGGAUACUUCUACAACAAGAUGAUAGCACCAGGCGUAACCAAGAAGCCGAUGGACGAGCCAUUGGUGAACCGGCACAAAGAGGCACUGGGCCAAGUAGAAAAAGCACUUCGUAGACUACUUCCUCGCCUCGAAGCCUUUCAUUGUCGGCGACCACUUGACCAUUGCUGACCUUGCUGCUGCCUGUGAGUUCGAGCAACCUUUGGCCGGAGGUUAUGAUCUUUUCACAGCCAGUCAGGGAAUACCUGAAAAGGGUCGUAAAAAAUGCUCUUGGGCCGCACUACCAAGAGGUGCAUAAGGUCCUGCAUGAUACUAUGAAACAGUGAAACACACUUGAACGCUAAGAUUGCUCAGUUUUUAUGAAAUCUUGGGAUAAUAAAUGAAAAUUUACAGAUACUAAA